rnacentral:lncRNA from 1 species
GCCCUUCCCGGCCUCGCCCGCACUCCCAGCGCCCACGGAGGCGGCCAGCCUUCUCCCCAGAGACCGUCUGGGAGUCGCUCAAGGCUUUCCAUGACUGGCGGGGAUGCGCCGCUGCCCCAAGCCCCGCCACGUUCUCCAUCCAGCAGCCGGCCUGGUGCUCCCUGAAUAGGGACCACCCAUGCCAGAUCAUCCCCCUCCCUUUGCCUGGCUUCAGUCCGACGCGAGGCCGCUGGGGGGCAAGCGCUGUGGUUGAGAAAAGCAAAGAAAAAAGAAAAAUCCACCAAGUUUAGGGGGUGAAGGAGCACUGUAUAUAUCUGGAUUUAAAAAAAGCAAUUCCUCCCACCCACAACCAUCGGAAACACACCCUCGUGUCCACUGCCCCUCGCCCGUAUCUCAUGAACCAGAAGGGCAAAUACGCCACAACUUUCUCUUUGUCCCACGUCUGUCCCCUGACGCCAUCUGCCCACGUCUCUACGUGACGCAGCUUCUCUCCGUCGAAAACCCCAGUCGGGCAGAUGCGUUGGCGAGUGACGCCUCUUCGGAACCGGGGUCAGGAGGAAGACGCCUCUGAGAGCGCUUCAAAAACCCAGCGGGUGAGCGGGACCCGCUGUGCCCAACCGGCCGCGCCCCCGUCCCGACCACGUGCGCGCGCGCGGGGCUCGCUCUCAAUGACCCUCUGAGCAGGUUAUUGUCACCACGCCCUCCUCCCCACUCAUUUUUACAGAGACUCUAACCUUCUCCUCCCCACCAACAACAGUCAGAGAGAGAAUUUGGAAGCAAAACCUAGACACCACAGUAUUUAAUCUGCAAGCAUUUUCAGCACGUACUGCCAAAAGACCCUCACAUUACCCAGACCACAAUGCCAGCAACACAGCAACAAUACCAAGAUACUCCCAGGAAAUUC